GCACACGCGCGCACAUGCAUGUGCAGUGGUUCCGCGGGGCAGGGUCCCCAGGGGGGUCCCCAGGCCAGCACCCCACCUUGACUGGUGCCUAGCAGCCAGCUUAGAGCUGGUGCGGACCAGGGGAAUCCAACUGUUUAAUUAGAACAAAGUGUUGCGAAGGCCCGGGGCAGGUGUUGACAUGAUGUGAUUUCUUCCCAGUGCUCUGAAUGUCAAAGUGAAGAAAUUCAAUGAAGCGUGGGUAAACGGCGGGAGUAACUAUUACUCUCUUAAGCAAGGGAAGCAUAAGGCCAGCAUCAGCUUUCAGUUCUGUCACCUUCCGUGUGGCAGCAGUUGCUGGACGUUUUCAAUUUCGGAGAUAGGCUCUGGCUAGAGGGGGAGAGAUUCAUGGGACUAUUACAU
rnacentral:ncRNA from 1 species